ACGCGAAGAACCUUACCUGGACUCGAAAUCUGGUUGACAGUCUCAGAGAUGAGAUCUUCCCGCAAGGGACGGCUGGAUAGGUGCUGCAUGGCUGUCGUCAGCUCGUGUCGUGAGAUGUUGGGUUAAGUCCCGCAACGAGCGCAACCCUCACCCUUUGUUGCUAACCCGCAAGGGAAGCACCCGAAGGGAACUGCCUCGGAUAACGGGGAGGAAGGUGGGGAUGACGUCAAGUCCUCAUGGCCUUUAUGCCCAGGGCUACACACGUGCUACAAUGGCCGGUACAAAGCGUCGCGAACCCGCGAGGGGGAGCCAAUCGCAAAAAACCGGUCCCAGUUCGGAUUGCAGUCUGCAACUCGACUGCAUGAAGCUGGAAUCGCUAGUAAUCGCGGAUCAGAACGCCGCGGUGAAUACGUUCCCGGGCCUUGUA
rnacentral:rRNA from 1 species